UCCGGUUGAUCCUGCCGGACCCCACUGCUAUCGGGAUGGGACUAAGACAUGUUAGUCGAGCGUCUCCAAGCUAUGAUGGAGGCGCGGCAUACAGCUCAGUAACACGUGGCUAACCUGCCCUUGGGACAAGGACAACCUCGGGAAACUGAGGCUAAUCCUUGAUAGGUGAGAACUCCUGGAGUGGAUUCUUGCUUAAAAGAUGCUUUGAUCAUGCUUCUAGGCAUCGCCCAAGGAGGGGGCCGCGGCCGAUCAGGUUGUUGGUGAGGUAAUGGCUCACCAAGCCUUUAACCGGUACGGGCCGUGAGAGCGGAAGCCCGGAGAUGGGCACUGAGACGAUGGCCCAGGCCCUACGGGGCGCAGCAGUCGCGAAAACUCCGCAAUACACGAAAGUGUGACGGGGCCAUCCCGAGUGCCAUCCGCUGAGGAUAGCUUUUCCCCAGUGUAUAAAGCUGGGAGAAUAAGGAGAGGGCAAGCCUGGUGUCAGCCGCCGCGGUAAUACCAGCUCUCCGAGUGGUGGGGAUGUUUAUUGGGCCUAAAGCAUUCGUAGCCUGCUGGGCAAGUCCUCCGUUAAAUCCACCGAUUCAAUCGUUGGACUGCGGGGGAUACUGCCUAGCUAGGGGGCGGAAGAGGCCGACGGUAUCCCCGGGGUAGGGGUGAAAUCCUAUAAUCCCGGGUGGACCACCAGUGGCGAAGGCUGUCGGCUAGAACGCGCUCGACGGUGAGGGAUGAAAGCUGGGGGAGCGAACCGGAUUAGAUACCCGGGUAGUCCCAGCUGUAAACGAUGCAGGCUAGGUGUUGGCGCGGCUACGUGCCGCUCCAGUGCCGCAGGGAAGCCGUUAAGCCUGCCGCCUGGGAAGUACGGCCGCAAGGCCGAAACUUAAAGGAAUUGGCGGGGGAGCACCACAAGGGGUGAAGCUUGCGGUUUAAUUGGAGUCAACGCCGGGA
rnacentral:rRNA from 1 species